rnacentral:rRNA from 1 species
AGAUUGAACGCUGGCGGCAUGCCUAACACAUGCAAGUCGAACGGGAGUAGCAAUACUCUAGUGGCGGACGGGUGAGGAAUACGUAGGAAUUUGCCCUUAAGUGGGGGAUAACCCGGGGAAACCCGGAUUAAUACCGCAUGACCUCGAAAGAGCAAAGUGGGGGAUCGCAAGACCGUCACGCUUUUGGAGAAGCCUACGUCGGAUUAGCUAGUUGGUGAGGUAAUGGCUCACCAAGGCGACGAUCCGUAACUGGUCUGAGAGGAUGAUCGAGUCACACCGGAACUGAGACACGGUCCG